GAUGAAGAACGUAGCGAAAUGCGAUACGUAAUGUGAAUUGCAGAAUUCAGUGAAUCAUCGAGUUUUUGAACGCACAUUGCGCCCCCUGGUAUUCCGGGGGGCAUGCCUGUCCGAGCGUCAUUGCUGCCCUCAAGCACGGCUUGUGUGUUGGGCCUCCGUCCUCCUCCCGGGGGACGGGCCCGAAAGGCAGCGGCGGCACCGCGUCCGGUCCUCGAGCGUAUGGGGCUUCGUCACCCGCUCUUGUAGGCCCGGCCGGCGCUUGCCGACACAUCAAUCUUUUUUCCAGGUUGACCUCGGAUCAGGUAGGGAUACCCGCUGAACUUAAGCAUAUCAAUAAGCGGAGGA
rnacentral:misc_RNA from 1 species